AAAAAUCGAGGGAUUUGAGAGAUUUUCUCAAGGAAUACCGUGGGUGGUUGAUCGGAAGAGAGGGGGGUCGUCGGAGCUAUCUUUGGACGGUGGAGCAAGGUAUUCCUCUUCUCCUUUUUAUUCUCCAGUCACCAGUGUAUUUGGAAGCCGGCGAGAUGUCGGUUCGGGCUCAAACAGGGACACCCCUGUUUACAUUUUGUUUUUUUUUCUCCCCCGUGUGCCACCGGCAACAGCCAUCGUUGGGGCUGUCACUGCGUCGCCGUCGGUUGCUGUCGGAGCGUGGCCGGAGUCGGCCCUCCUUAGCCGCUUGAGGGAGAGAGGAGAUGGACGGGGAUGAUGCCCCUGUUUUGUCCCAAAGGAACCCACGGGAAGAAAAGAAGGAAGAAGAAGAAAAGAAGAAGAAGAAGAAAGCAAAAGAAAAAGAAAAAGAAAAAGAAAAGGAAAAAAGAGAAAAAGAAAUAAAAAGAAAAAGAAAAAGAGAAAGAAAAAAAUAAAAAUAAAAUAAAAAGAAGAAGAAGAAAAAAAAA
rnacentral:lncRNA from 1 species